rnacentral:tRNA from 1 species
GCGGAAGUGGCGAAAUUGGUAGACGCACCAGAUUUAGGUCUGGCGCCGCGAGGCGUAAGAGUUCAAGUCUCUUCUUCCGCACCA